GUCGAGCGGUGAGAGAGGUGCUUGCACCUCUUGAGAGCGGCGGACGGGUGAGUAAUGCCUAGGAAUCUGCCUGGUAGUGGGGGAUAACGCUCGGAAACGGACGCUAAUACCGCAUACGUCCUACGGGAGAAAGCAGGGGACCUUCGGGCCUUGCGCUAUCAGAUGAGCCUAGGUCGGAUUAGCUAGUUGGUGAGGUAAUGGCUCAACAAGGCGACGAUCCGUAACUGGUCUGAGAGGAUGAUCAGUCACACUGGAACUGAGACACGGUCCAGACUCCUACGGGAGGCAGCAGUGGGGAAUAUUGGACAAUGGGCGAAAGCCUGAUCCAGCCAUGCCGCGUGUGUGAAGAAGGUCUUCGGAUUGUAAAGCACUUUAAGUUGGAGGAAGGGCAUUAACCUAAUACGUUAGUGUUUUGACGUUACCGACAGAAUAAGCACCGGCUAACUCUGUGCCAGCAGCCGCGGUAAUACAGAGGGUGCAAGCGUUAAUCGGAAUUACUGGGCGUAAAGCGCGCGUAGGUGGUUUGUUAAGUUGGAUGUGAAAGCCCCGGGCUCAACCUGGGAACUGCAUUCAAAACUGACAAGCUAGAGUAUGGUAGAGGGUGGUGGAAUUUCCUGUGUAGCGGUGAAAUGCGUAGAUAUAGGAAGGAACACCAGUGGCGAAGGCGACCACCUGGACUGAUA
rnacentral:rRNA from 1 species